GGGUCAGUAGGUUGGUCGUGCCACCGGUACGUACUGGUCUCACUGAUUCCUCCUUCCUGAAGAACCGUAAUGCCAUUAAUUUGGUGUUGCGGGGAAACAGGACUGUUACUUUGAAAAAAUUAGAGUGUUUAAAGCAAGCUAACGCUUGAAUACAUUAGCAUGGAAUAAUGAAAUAGGACGAUCGAUCCUAUUUUGUCGGUUUCUAGGAUUGACGUA
rnacentral:rRNA from 1 species